CUGUCUUACUAUACUGGCCAAAGACAUGCCCAAGUUGGUGGCAAUGCAGACCCCACAAGACCGCCACAAAGUCAUCAUUAUCCUUGACGGUGAAGGCCUCAGUCAUCGUCAAAUAGCACAGCCGACUGGUGUGUCUGUCUCUAACGUAUGAAUGGGUCUGCAGACAUAUGGCCACAGGCUCCACUAGUGACAGGCCUCAAAGCCUUGCAGCAGAUUUUUAACAGUGUAAUCACAGCAGGGGUGCAUAGACUCAUUAUUAAAUAGAUACCUAUCAUCCUCAUAUAUCGUAUAGCUAUGGUGCAGUAUGUGCUUUACGUAUUAAUUUUGCCAGAUAUUAUAAUUCUGUAUACUUUUACCGGUAAUUAUGGUUCUAUACCACCACCUAGAGUUAUCAUUGACUCAAUUAAAUAAGGAUGAGGUCAGCCCCAGCAUUUAAACUGCCUGAGAAUGGUCCAUGUUAUUAAGGAUGUACCAAUACCAAAAUUUUUACCGAUACCGAUACCCCAAUAUUUGACCUAUACUUGUGCAUUAAUUUUUUUAUACAAUAAUUCCAGCAGCUAAAAGGCAAUAUCAAAUGUUAAUAAAAAAAAACACUACUCAUUGUUCCCCCAUAGAAGGGAAGAAAAAGGAAAGUACAUUAGUACUCUUAAAAUGUGCCGAUACCACCCAUACCGAUACAUCCCUACAUGUUAUCAAGGGUUUCUGCACCCAAGCACACACACACACACACACACACACACACACACACUUAACAUGGCUUUGGUAGGAGUUGUGGGCCUUUCCACGGCUAGUGUUUUGACCCUGGUGGGAGUCUGACAAGGCUUCUGUACCCAUAACUCUAAAAACUCCUGAGAACACAUUUUCCUCUUUUUUGGCAUUUAGUCGGAAGCGUCUCAGAAUAGCGAUCAAUGUCCUGAGUGGAAUGGCUGACAAAAUAAUUGCAUCCACACCACAGUCUCAUAAUAACUGUCAAUAAUCUCUGUAAUGCAUUGAGGACCUAAUGUCAGUGACUCUGAGCUGAGUUAGUUAGCACAAGAAUGACAUCUUGCAUACGAACAAGCACCCUUACGCUCAAGAAUUAUCAAUUAGUAUAGUACGCUUACGUCAACGAUGUAUUCACAGCAUAUGAGCAAUGCAUUAUCUCGUCAAGGCUCAUCAGUGCACUUGUGAUCCUGAGUCACUGGCACCUCUCUCCUUCACUGAGCUUGGGUACACAGGGCUAACACGUAGUUUGGAAAGUUUUGUUUAGUGGGCAGGGGACAGGGGCGUAGGGUAUCAGAAAAGCCGCCUAAUUUUUUCCACUCCACCCGGGAAUCGAACCCGGGCUCUCUUGGUUGUGAGCCGAGUGUGCUAACCACUGCUUAUCGUGUAGCAGCGACGGGCCAAAUUUGUGGCUUAUUGUGUAGCAGUGACGGGCCAAAUUUGUGGCUUAUCGUGUAGCAGCGACGGGCCAAAUUUGUGGCUUAUUGUGUAGCAGUGACGGGCCAAAUUUGUGGCUUAUCGUGUAGCAGCGACGGGCUAAAUUUGUGGCUUAUUGUGUAGCAGUGACGGGCUAAAUUUGUGGCUUAUUGUGUAGCAGUGACGGGCCAAAUUUGUGGCUUAUUGUGUAGCAGUGACGGGCCAAAUUUGUGGCUUAUUGUGUAGCAGCGACGGGCCAAAUUUGUGUCUUUACCGUGUAGCAGCGACGGGCAAAAUUUGUGCCAUGAUUUAAACCCCCCAAAACAGAUGAUACAUAAUCUGAUCACAAAUGCUUUGAUAUAUAUUAUGAAAUGGUUUGUGUGAGGGGUGAUUUUUUCUCAUUUUUCUCGCUUGGAGGGACCAUUAAGAAACAUGAUCCCCGCUGCUACCGGGAUAAACCUCUCAAGGUGACACUACCAAUGGCUCUGAAGGAAUAAGGCACAGGACUUUUAUUGCAGAACCUGUGCAGGGACCAGAACUGACCACUACAUCAAUAAAACUACCACUGGUGUCAUCAAACUACCCCUGGAAAUACCGAGAACUCCAACAAAAGUCUUCUCAAAUGAGUGUUUCACAGGUUCAUGGUACAGAACAAGGGUCUCUCUACCACCAGUGUCAUAAAACUACCCCUGGAAAUACCGAGAACUCCAACAAAAGUCUUCUCAAAAGUGUGUUUUUUGGUUCAUGGUACAGCAGCAGGGUCACACUACCAGCAGGGUCAUCAAACUACCUCUGGAAAUGCUGCAAACCUUCAUGAAAGCCUCGUCAAAUGUGUGUUUCUUAGGUUUAUGGUACAGAAGGAGGGUGUCUCUCUACCACCAGGGUCAUACAAGUGCAGCAUACAAUAACUAAUGAGGGAGUCACCUAUAUGCCUGAUGGAGGUCACAAAAUCUGCAGUCAUAACCAGCUUCCCAGGAUUCAGAAUACCCAGGCUAAGACAUUAGUGGCAACAGCUCCAUACCAUAGUGCCCUGAUACUGCCGCUUCAUGCCAUAUAGCAUAGUAAGACACACUCGUAGGACUCGACGGAACUUUUAUUAGUAUUCAUUUUAUCAGUUAUUAUUAUUCGUAUAUAUUAAUCUGUGCUUUAAAAGGUCAAGUAAGUUCAGCGCACACAAGUUUUGGCUGGAAAUACUUGUGGUUGAGGCUGACAUUUUAUCCUAGCCAUAGAAGUGGACCCAUAGUUAUGGAGGGAUUUUUUCAGGCUCAAAAAGUAGACUUGUACACUAAAAUUUAGGUCAUAUCUUCUUCAUCUGCUAUCUAACUCUACCUGGUAUUAUAAUUUGCUAUGUAACUCUACCUGCUACAUAUUCUAUUUGGUAUUAUAAUCUGCUCUCGUAUUCCAGCAUCCAUCUUGCUCUCUCGUGGUACAGAGGAGAAUUAUCUGUGCCAUUACCAAGAUGGCACGUGCCGCCACCAUGCCAGUUAACCUCUGAGGGUGCCACGGCCCUGCUGUCAAGAUCCUGGGGCGGUAUACACAAACGUUCUUAGCAUCGCUAAGUGCACUUAACGGCACAGAAUCGUUAAGUUUUCUACUUAAAAUGGCGCCGGGCCGCUUAGCGCUGGAGCUGGAGCACUUAGCGGGCGGAAAAUUUAAGGCGGGGAAGGGGCUCCCAUAGCACCGUUAAAAAUGUAUAAGUAUUGCAAAAUAGUUUGACCCUUCCUCUGUACCCUGAACCUAAAGAAACACAUAUUUGGCAAGGCUUUCCUAGGAGUCUUUGACAUUUCCAGGAGUAUAGUUUUAUGACCAGGUGGUAGUUUGACCCUUCCUCUGUACCCUGAACCUAAAGAAACACAUAUUUGGCAAGGCUUUCCUAGGAGUCUUUGACAUUUCCAGGAGUAUAGUUUUAUGACCAGGUGGUAGUUUGACCCUUCCUCUGUACCCUGAACCUAAAGAAACACUCAUUAGAACCCGAUUGCCCCCUCUUUGACCUUCAGAAAUACAGAACAUAGUUGACAUGAGAAGCAAAAGUGUCUUAUAAUACCAAUCCCAGGAUAUAGUUAAUAUUGUGUCAUCAAAACCCAGAUUAAAUUCAAACCUCUCCUGCGUCCAUCCCACUCUGAUUGGGCUCAUGUUAACGCCUCCCUGCACUGUGACGCCUUGUUUAAGAGCCCCCGAGCCAAGAAGGACGGAACAGAGAGGGAGAAAGCUGCUGCUGAGAGGGAGAAAAUAUAAGAAAGAUUUUAAUGGAAGCGGCCAAGAUAGAUAAUGGAGAGAGAGAGAGAGAGAGAGAGAGAGAGAGAGAGAGAGAGAGAGAGAGAGAGAGAGAGAGAGAGAGAGAGA